rnacentral:rRNA from 1 species
GGGCCCGCACAAGCGGUGGAGCAUGUGGUUUAAUUCGAUGAUACGCGAGGAACCUUACCAGGGCUUAAAUGGGAAAUGACAGGGGCAGAGACGCCCCCUUCUUCGGACAUUUUUCAAGGUGCUGCAUGGUUGUCGUCAGCUCGUGCCGUGAGGUGUCAGGUUAAGUCCUAUAACGAGCGCAACCCCUACCGUUAGUUGCCAGCGUGUAAUGACGGGGACUCUAACGGAACUGCCGGUGCAAACCGUGAGGAAGGUGGGGACGACGUCAAAUCAUCACGGCCCUUACGUCCUGGCUACACACGUACUACAAUGCUACGGACAAAGGGCAGCAAACUCGCGAGAGCUAGCA